UCUCGGUAAACAUAAAAAAUGAUAUUAAUAUUUUUCCCAUUUCUCCAAUCUUUUGCAAACAACACCAUUUUAAAGCCAAAAUGUACAAAUUUUCAAAGAAAUUCUUAUAGAGUUUUAUAGAUGUUUAUAGUGUUAAUACCUUCCCUUUUCAUAACAAAUCCACGGACCCUUAUAUCUUUUUAUUAGUUUUGUUUUAAAACUUCUUUGGGUUUUGUUCGUACUUUUUCCAUUU
rnacentral:lncRNA from 1 species